CCAGUCGGCCGGACGGCCGCUCCCGCAAGUGCGGAAACGCCGCGGGGGAGGAAAGUCCGGGCUCCAUGGAAAUACGGUGCCGGGUAACGCCCGGCGGGGGCAACCUCAGGGAAAGUGCCACAGAAAGCAAACCGCCCCGCUCAGGCCGCAAGGCUUCGGGGUAAGGGUGAAAGGGUGGGGUAAGAGCCCACCGCGCGACCGGUAACGGAAGCGGCACGGCAAACCCCACCGGGAGCAAGACCGAAUAGGGGCGGCGCGAGCCUUCGGGCUCGGUCGAUUUCCAGACCAGCCGCCCGGGUUGGUUGCAGGAGGCGUCCGGUAACGGGCGCCCCAGAUGAAUGGUCGUCGCGCGGGGGCGGGGUACGCUUCGUCCGCGCCAUACAGAACCCGGCUUACAGGCCGGCUGGCACC
rnacentral:RNase_P_RNA from 1 species